rnacentral:rRNA from 1 species
UACGUAGGGUGCGAGCGUUGUCCGGAAUUAUUGGGCGUAAAGAGCUUGUAGGCGGUUUGUCGCGUCUGCCGUGAAAAUUCGAGGCUCAACCUCGAACUUGCGGUGGGUACGGGCAGACUAGAGUGUGGUAGGGGAGACUGGAAUUCCUGGUGUAGCGGUGGAAUGCGCAGAUAUCAGGAGGAACACCAUGCGAAGGCAGAUCUCUGGGCCGUAACUGACGCUGAGGAGCGAAAGCGUGGGGAGCGAACAGG